UACGUAGGGUGCAAGCGUUAAUCGGAAUUACUGGGCGUAAAGCGCACGUAGGCGGAUUGGUCAGUUAGAGGUGAAAUCCCAGGGCUCAACCCUGGAACUGCCUUUAAUACUGCCGGUCUUGAGUUCGAGAGAGGUGAGUGGAAUUCCGAGUGUAGAGGUGAAAUUCGUAGAUAUUCGGAGGAACACCAGUGGCGAAGGCGGCUCACUGGCUCGAUACUGACGCUGAGGUGCGAAAGCGUGGGGAGCAAACAGG
rnacentral:rRNA from 1 species